CUGCAUCAAUGGCUGAUAUGGGGAUAAAAGGAGAGAAAGUCAUGGUGUGGCCUCAAUCCUCCCCUGACCUCAGUCCUAUUGAGAACCUUUGGAGCAUCCUCAAGCAAAAGAUCUAUGAGGGUGGGAGGCAGUUUACAUCCAAACAGCAGCUCUGGGAGGCUAUUUUGACAUCUUGCAAACAAAUUCAAGCAGACUGUCCAGACUGUCCAAAAACCCACAAGUUCAAUGGAUGCAAGACUUGUGAAGCUGCUUUCAAAUAAG